rnacentral:rRNA from 1 species
AUUGAACGCUGGCGGCAUGCCUAACACAUGCAAGUCGAGCGAGCGGCUGACGGGUGAGUAAUGUCUGGGACACUGCCUGAUGGCGGGGGAUAACUACUGGAAACGGUAGCUAAUCCCGCAUACCAUCAGAUUUUCCCAGAUGGGAUUAGCUAGUAGGUGGGGUAAUGGCUCACCAAGGCGACGAGCCCUAGCUGGUCUGAGAGGAUGACCGGCCACACUGGAACUGAGAAACGGCCCAGACUCCUACGGGAGGCAGCAGUGGGGAAUAUUGCGCAAUGGGCGAAAGCCUGAUGCAGCAAUGCCGCGUGUAUGAAGAAGGCCUUCGGAUUGUAAAGUACUGUCAGCAGGGAGGCGUUACCCGAAGAGGAAGCAACGGCUAACUCCGUGCCAGCAGCCGCGGUAAUAC